UUUUUUCUCUCUAACUAUUUUUUUUAAAGCAUUAAGUGUAGCAUUUGCAUUAGUUUUUAUUUUUAUAGGAUUUUGCAUUUAGGGUAGACACUUCAGUUGCUACUCUUUAAGUUUUUAAAUUGAAAGCUAGGGCGAGGGGCCUCUUCUGUACAGGAAAGACUUGGUUUUUAAGUUUGUCCGCUUGUGACUCACCUCUCUUUCCUGGGAGUUUACUUGGUUUGCUUUUCAAUUAAAAAAAAAAAGUUUGCUCUGAGGCGUCUAAUAGGUGUUGGUGUCCAUUACAUAUCUCUCCUGUUUUCAAUUCUAAAAUGGAAAGGAAAUUAGCUGAACAAAUUUACAAUUAUGAUAAUCAUUGUGAGCCAUAUUUGCAGCAAUCUUCACAGUUUUAUAAGCAGUUUUUACAGCAAUGUGAACCCUACUUUCA
rnacentral:lncRNA from 1 species